CUGAAGCUAAAUUGAAAGUGAGCAUAGUAUGUGAGACUAUACAACAUAUUUACUGCUAUUAUGAAUAUAGCCUGUUUGGGAGCUCCCUGCAGCACCUCUACACUUGAUUUGGAGCUACAGCUGACUGACUGACAUAGAAGAUGUCGUCCACGAUUCUAGGGACCACAAUGUAUGGCUUUUGCUGGCCACCAACCUCCCAGUCAAAGAAGGCACAUGAAGAGAGAGAUAUAAAUACUGUAUGAUAAGUAAAUAAUUUUUUUUAAUGAC